GACACGACUCUCGGCAAUGGAUAUCUCGGCUCUCGCAUCGA
rnacentral:rRNA from 1 species